AGAUGUCUGACCACAUGAAUGCCAUGGUAACUAAUUGACAUAUAUGCUAAUAAGCUUGAGGCAAAAGGAUUAAUAACCUAUAGGAGAAGGGCAUCCCAACAUUAGCAGGGUGAGGAACUACAAAUAAGUAGAGGGGCUGAAACUCCUACUGAAUAUGCAUUAGGCACAGUGGGAUCACCAUAAUACAUUAUAAAAGUUGUAUCCCAGCCUGUGUGCAUUGGGAGGGAGAGAUGUAGCCCUUGGGAGAAGCCAGGAUGAUGGUGAGGGGGAAGAUGAUGAAGAUGAUAACUGACACUUCAGGUUGUUUGCAAGGGAUGGUGGUGAAGAGGUUGUAUCUGAAGAACCCUUUGAACAAAUGACUCCAAUCUUACUCCAAGAAGUAUAUGUUGGCCCCCGUUGCAACAUACCGGUUUUGAAGACAGUCUCUCUACGGCGGAUUUUAGAGCAUGUUGAAAAUUUGUAAAAACUUAUAAUGUAGGGGAUGGUAUAUUGGGAACCCCGUGAUCAAAUGACCCCAAACUUCACCACAAAUUACCCCAGGCCCUGUUGCAGCGUACCAGUUUUGAAGACAAUCUCCCUAUGCAUGUGGAUUUUAGAGCACUUAGCUCAACACUUUAUUGGCAGGGCUGUAAAUGAAGAUCCCGUUACCAAAUGACCCAACUUACAGCACUAACUCUACUCCAGACUUAACAUGGUACAGCAAUAUUAUGGUGGGGCAGUAGCUUCACCACAGUAAAGAUUGCAUCAGGAUUUCAAUUUUAAUGAGUGAAAAAGCUUAGAAACAUUCUGCCUUUGGGGUUAGAAUAGCAUUUUAAAAUGUGUGCUGUAACUUGUGCACUGCUUGAUUUUUCUAUAGCUGUUUGUGGCAGAAAAUAUCUUUUGAGGUUUGCUAUGACUGUUUUUAAAAGGGCCAUUAGACUAAAAUGUAUAGUGUCUGACAUUUCCUUCAUUUCCAUUUGCCACAGGGACUACAGCACUUUAAGAGGUCAAAUGACAGGUGGGACUGGUUGAAUUAUUGUAGAAAGCUGAAACUUGUUUUCUGUGUUUAUUUUUCAUGAUAAGCAUAAAUUACUGUUUUGAAUGAG